AAAUAAAUAUUAAAGUGAAAAGAAAACAAAGUGCGACAUUACACAAGGAACAUAUGAAGGUGACCGUAGACCAAAGAAGGAAUUUAUGUUCUCUUGAGAAAUAAAUAAAUGUUAUUUUGCAGUAGGCAUGCAAAAGCUAUAAUUUCUGCUUAUUCUGUUAUUUCAAUCCGGUCCAUGUAACUUAACGUGCCGUCAUAAAUCAAUUUCACGCAGAAGUAAUUCAGGGAUGUGGUCGUUUUAUAUUUCAAACCGGUCAUUCAUUCACAGGUUACUCAGAAGGCAAGUCGACACUUCGUGUACAAAAAUUAUGUACAUCACAUAUUUGAAGAGCUAGCGUUUUCCAGUAAUGUUGCCACAGAACAAGAAAGGAGGGAGGAUUCAAGCGAAAUGCAGAUAAGUUGUUGAACGAUUUUUGUCUUUUUUAUUUAUUACGUAUUUCAUGAAAAAUAAAUGAACAGAUAAAUUUAUUGUCCGCUCAAGCUAACGAGUUAUUUCAAAUACUUAUCCCUGCGUUAUUUAUGUCGAACAAUCAUUUGUUAUUUUAUACCAAAAAAACUGGGGAAAAAAAGGAAACUUCCGGUUUUUUUAGUAACAACCAUCAUUCUUUGUUUACCAGUUUUGAAGACAUUGUGUCGGUUGAUGAUUCACAUGUCAUGGCCAAGAUUCGACAAGACUUAAGUCACAAAAUUGUCAUAAUUAAGGAAGAAAACACAUAUUUUUCACACUGCUUAUACAGUCGAACCUGUAAGACUACCCUAAGCAAACAAAGAAAAUGUCUUUGAAUAUUUGAUGAACAAUGGGCUCAAUGCGUGCAUAUUUUCUUAUUUUUUAACGCUUAGCCUUACAUUUAAAAAAUCAAACAACACCAAAAACAUAGAAAGAGCGGAUUGUUUCACAUGAAAAUUAAAACAUAUCAAAGCAUGUAUAUUACUCUAAAUAACUUUUGUCAGUUUACUAAUAUGUACAUUGAAUUCCGGAUAAGAACUGCAUCAAGGAGGCACACUUCCGUACAAUUCGACGCCUUUAGAAAACAAUAGAAAACUAUGCUGGUAUUGGAUAAAGUAGUUCGAAUAAGUUAUUUGGUAGCAAUACCUGAAGGUAAGUAGACAGGUAAAAGCUAAAUGUUAUCAAACCGUCGUCUUUGGUCCCUUUUGUUCUACCAUAUACGAUGCAGAUUACAUAUCGGCUUAUGACCAAAAUAUUGGUGUUAAUGCUUGUUAUUAAACUGUUGUAAAAGCGGUCAGGUAGAAGCUAAAUGCUAUUAAACCGUUGUCUUUGGUCCAUUAAAGGCGUCCUGCUUUGUUCUCUACCAUAUACGAUAUAGACUAUAAUUAUUAAUCUGUUUUGCUGUGGCUGUUGUAAAAGCGUAUUUCUAAAGAGGUGAUAUUGGUCGAACCGAAUUGAACGGCAUAUGUCAUACAAAGUUUGGUUUCGAACUGUAUGACUGUGCUUUCUGUGCUAGAUGCUUCCUGUGUAUGCAUGUAUUAAAUACUACGUAAGAAAGUAACUCCGUAAUAUAUUAUCAAUGGAUUAGUCAUGUGGGUAUUGCAGUUACAUUGAUUCUUGUGUAUCUUAUCCGCAUACAUAUCUUACUGCUGCAAUCUAGUUAAUAAUAUUAGUCUACAGUGCCAAACGUAGGGCUGUGCGUUUUGUGACGUUAUUGUACAGUUUUUCUAUUAUGAAGAUAUUUGACUGUGCGACGUUAGGCUCAACAAAUUAAAUGUAUGAAUUAGCUAUUUGAUUUUUUUUCUUUUAUUUAGAUGUUCGCGUAUGUUGCUUCUACUUUAUAAAUAUCUUUCCAUAGGUGUUACGCUGUUUAUACGCGCUAUUAUAAUGGAGCUAAGGGAGAAGCGCUGUCGAUUCAAACAAUACACUAGGAGUAGCAGGGUUCCAUGAGAACAUUUUCAAAAAAAAUCAAGCAGCACACUGAGAUUGGCGGAUGCCUUGGGAAGCACUGUCAAAUCAAACGGUACACUGGCAGUGGUGGAGUGGCAUUACCUCGGUGGAGUUGGUUCACCUUAGACUGGACUUCAUAGCGUUCUUGGUUAUCGGAUACAUCUUCAGCUGACAUACCUAGAUUUUCAUACGUCUCUUCUUCAAAUGUCUUAUCUAAAGGCGGAGUUUGCAAUCGCCGUCUGUUAUAAUUGUCCACUAAACUGAGGAGUAAAGCAGACGAUAACAAAUUUAAAAUCAAACACGUCCAUGUCAGCUAUUGCAACAAGUUUUUAAAACUUACAUGUGAUGAAAAGGAUGAUCACUGGAGAUUUCACGCUGUUUACUGACGGUAUAUUAAAAGCCUCACAGUGGAAUCUCACAGAUUUAAACGAGACAAGGCGAUGAAAGUUAGGAGAAAUAUUCCCACAGAGAAAAAGCUAAGAACUUCAUUACUGUACAAUUACACCACCGCCUCGUAAGCUGUUUCAAAGUCUAAUUAUAAUUUGUAUACAAAAGUCUUCAAAACAUUG
rnacentral:lncRNA from 1 species